rnacentral:lncRNA from 1 species
UACCACCUCCACCGUCACAAUUACAAUCACCUUCAACCCAUUCUCUGUUGGGGGAAAGAACUGAAAUAAUAACAGAUAGGAGCCGAUGAGACGAAGUUUAUGAAUUGUUAGGGUUUUGAUCCGUUAGGGGAAGUCCUUUAUGGCUAAUGUCGACAGUUCAUCAAGUCAGAGACGAGAUAUUUAAUGCAUGACUUGAUUGUGAGGCG